UACGAAGGGGGCUAGCGUUGUUCGGAAUUACUGGGCGUAAAGCGCGUGUAGGCGGGUCUUUAAGUCAGGGGUGAAAUGCCAAGGCUCAACCUUGGAACUGCCUUUGAUACUGGACAUCUUGAGUACGGGAGAGGUGAGUGGAACUCCGAGUGUAGAGGUGAAAUUCGUAGAUAUUCGGAAGAACACCAGUGGCGAAGGCGACUCACUGGCCCGUUACUGACGCUGAGGCGCGAAAGCGUGGGGAGCAAACAG
rnacentral:rRNA from 1 species